UGGCGUGCAGACGUGCAGUUAUUCCGCCUGUACAGUACAGCACGCGCCGAUCGAUCGCGGCGGCGGCGGCGGCAGCGGCGGGUGAGCAAGGGGCCCGCUCAGCUGGGCGCGAACCGGUCGAGGAGGAGGUAGAGCGUGGUGUCGGACAUGGCGCCGCCGCACCUCGCGACGUCCCCCUCCCGCCUGUCCGUCCCGGCCGCCGCGGCUCCUCGCAACGCCUUGUUGUUGCUGCUGCUCCUGUCGUCGCCUCGCCACGGCCUCUGCUGCUGCUGGCACGGCAGCCGCGGGUCGUCGUCCUCGCCGAGCCCGUGGGUGGCGGCCACGGCCACCGCCUGCCACGUCCCAUGCAGCGCCGACGAGAGCUCGCCGAGCCACACGCCCGCCAGGUUGUUGGAUGCCGUCGUCGUCGUGGAAGCCAUGGUGGGGGACGCUUUGCUUUGCGACUUGCGUGAGAGAGAAACAAAACAGAAAAGCCUGGACGUUGGACGACUUGUUGGUUGCUGUGUCCGUGUCUG
rnacentral:misc_RNA from 1 species